rnacentral:ncRNA from 1 species
GUUAUGGGGAAGCGAUCUCCCCACGAGGCGACAGCCGAAGCGUCGCGUCCACCUCUCUCCGGAAGAGGACGCCCCGAUG